rnacentral:tRNA from 1 species
GUCAAACUUGCUGAGUGGUCUAAGGCGCCGUGUUAAGGCCGCGGUCCGAAAGGGCGUGGGUUCGAAUCCCACCCUUGUCA